rnacentral:lncRNA from 1 species
UCUGGCUGCUAGAGCAAGUUCUCUGGGGGAGAUUAGUUAAGAUUUUUAUUGAAUGGGUCUGGAAAUAAGGGCAUAGUCAUCAUAUAGUCAUUUUCGAUCCGGGAGUAUCUCAUUUCUGCUCCAUGCAAGAUCCGACUUAUGUAGUAGAUGGAUUUUUUGCACCUCAUCUUUUUCUUGAACUAACACCGAGCUUACGGCUUUAGAGGAUGUAGCUAAGUACAUAAGCAGCUCCUCAUCUAUAUUUAAUUUUAUUAAGAGAGGAGGAGAAGUUAGAUACAGCUUCAAGUCUUUGAAAGCUUUUUGAUAUUCCUCUGUCCAGGUGAAAUCCAUUUGCCUGAGGGUUC